CUACUCUCUUCCCCCUAUAGAUGGUCUCCCCAUGUCAGUGGUCGCUUCUAUGUCUUGAGUGAUUCCAGCGUUGGAAGGAUGGAGACAAUUCUUUUUAAAUCAAUUUUCCCCCCACUCGUGAAGAAGGAGCAUAUAUUAAGAUUCAUGGUUUCUGAGCUGCUGGGAACAAAAGAGUCAAGUGGUAUCUAGCUCACUUCGAGUUGAGCAUAUAUGUGAUUGUGCAAGUUGGUAUACUGCAGCAAGUGGUGAGGCCUGGCACAAGGAAGUGAUAAUUUACCCUUGAACAUAGAACCUACUGUAGCUAUCCAAGGAAGUGAUUAACUAGGAUUGGGACUCUUGUUGGUUAAGCAAUUUGCUCAUUAAAAUUUGUAGCCAGAGUAAUUGAGGAGGAGAUUUUGGGAUUGACAACUUGUGAUUGAUAUCUACAAAAGCAACAUUAGAAGCUUCUAAGCGUGCUGAAUUCUUAAUUCUGCAGACAAGAAUGACUGCAUUUGGGAAAGCAUUUUACAAAAACCAAAGUGAUCUUGUGCCUAAUGUAUGUAUGUGGGAUCUGAGCCUUGUAGCUUUUGUUUCAGUACACUCUUUCCCUUGACAGAAGUGUUUUACUUUUAUGAACCUAGUUGUGUCACAACUUAGUUGUUUUGUACUGCUUACAAUGAAGCUUGAAGCACUCCGAGAUGAGUAUAUGCGCUAUGCUACAGAGAAGUGUUCAUCUGUACUAAAAUAAGAUAUGGUUUCCUGCAGAGGAGGUGCUGAAAGCCUGAAAGGGAACAAGGAUUACUUCAGAUACUGACUGAGAGACAAUAAGAAAUUUCUGUUGAAAUUUCUGCAUUUUCUCUCCCAUAUAUAACAUUGAAUUUGCUUGCUUUACUACCAUGCAGCCUGAACGAUUGGCUCUUUGAAAUUUUCUAAUACAGUAUGCUUUGGCCCUGGUAUGUACUUUUCAUAUAGUAGCAGAUUUUUGUAUCAAAAAAUGUCACUUGUUUACUACUUCUCUGACUUUAUUAGUUUUUGAAUCAUUCAGGUAUUAAAGGCAAGCUUCAAAAUAUAUUGUGCCCUGAAUGAUGGAAUCAUAUAUCUUGUGGAUGUGGUAGCGUCUAUCUCAGUUUACUUUGUAACUUUUACCACCUUAUUUGGAUUUUAAAUUGUAUUAACUAAUGAAGGUUCCAAUUCUUUGAUAUUACAAAUAUCUGAUGCAGUGAAGGCUCAACAUAGUUAUAAAUGAGCUUUGAUACAGGUUUAUGAUCAAUGAUGCUUUGGUUCAGAAACAUUCUUCUUAUUGUCAAAUGUGAAUUGUAUUUUAUGUUCAACAUUUUCCUAAAGGGUCGUGCUUGUUGAAAGUCGUGCUUGUUGAAUUGAUAGUUAUUCUAACUAUGCAGGAUUUUACUCUUGCAAGCUUCUUUGAAGUUUGAUCACCACAAAGAAUUGAACCUUGCUAGAAAUUUUCAAUUUCCAACCUUAAUAUAGGUGCUAAUUUUGAUACAUGUUCAAUUUAUCUGUUAGUUGCAGGCUUGUAGUUAGAAACUUGAUAUUUUUAUGUUCAUAUUAUGGCUUUGUUUGCAGUUGAUCCAGUUUUUUAUUUGGAAAUUCUACUUGUCACCCUUUGGUUCUGCAAGGAUUCUCUCUUGCCUUCUUGACUGCUUUGUUCUCUGGUUUUUUCGGCUCUUAUUAUCUCUGGUCUGUUGCUGCAUUCUCUGGUUUUCGCGUCAUUAGUUAGCUGCUGCUGCAACGGCGAGGCUAUGUCAGUUGUCCCCUGCUGCUCUCUCGCGUCAUUAGUUUGCUGCUGCAAUUUUCUUUUCUUUUUCCUGUUUUUGCUUUAUGUAGUUGAAGAUGAUGUCUUAGAUUUAUUACUCUUUAUCUUUGUAG